rnacentral:rRNA from 1 species
GGGAUAACAGCUGGAAACGGCUGCUAAUACCGCAUAAGCGCACGAGGAGACAUCUCCUAGUGUGAAAAACUCCGGUGGUACAGGAUGGGCCCGCGUCUGAUUAGCUGGUUGGCAGGGUAACGGCCUACCAAGGCAACGAUCAGUAGCCGGUCUGAGAGGAUGAACGGCCACAUUGGAACUGAGACACGGUCCAAACUCCUACGGGAGGCAGCAGUGGGGAAUAUUGCACAAUGGGGGAAACCCUGAUGCAGCAACGCCGCGUGAGUGAAGAAGUAUUUCGGUAUGUAAAGCUCUAUCAGCAGGGAAGAUAAUGACGGUACCUGACUAAGAAGCUCCGGCUAAAUACGUGCCAGCAGCCGCGGUAAUACGUAUGGAGCAAGCGUUAUCCGGAUUUACUGGGUGUAAAGGGUGCGUAGGUGGCAGUGCAAGUCAGAUGUGAAAGGCCGGGGCUCAACCCCGGAGCUGCAUUUGAAACUGCUCGGCUAGAGUACAGGAGAGGCAGGCGGAAUUCCUAGUGUAGCGGUGAAAUGCGUAGAUAUUAGGAGGAACACCAGUGGCGAAGGCGGCCUGCUGGACUGUUACUGACACUGAGGCACGAAAGCGUGGGGAGCAAACAGGAUUAGAUACCCUGGUAGUCCACGCCGUAA